rnacentral:lncRNA from 1 species
CUCAUGAGCAAAGCUAAAGCCACAAACCCAGUAUAUCAGGGGUUUGAGAACUACUGAUCUGCGUGAAGUGUGGAGGGUACCCUAGAAGCUACCAUGAGUGAAGGGAAUAUGUUGCUGUCUAUUGCGUCUUGAGACCAAGCUUCUCUGCAUUUUAAGAUCUCCUAGCUCCUGAGAUGGAUGACACCAGGACAAGCAUUUACUAACAGUCUGGGGCCACCAACCUGAAGGUGAUGCCCAUUCUGCCUUUGUGUAGCCUCCAAUUUCUCCUCAAGAGCCCUAUCUGCAGCCUUCUCCAGCUACUGAAGGUUGGAUUACGCACCCCAUAUGCUAGUCACUAGCUUAAUUCUUGGCAUGAAGAGACUGAUCUUCUGACCCCAUCCAACACAGUUCCUGAACUGAAGAAGCUCAGAGCACAUGGGAGUGACAGCCAGACAAUGACAACACGAUGACCAAGGGCAGAGACAAAGAUAUGUAUUUCCAAGACAGCAGAAUUUGGAGAAACAUUAUGCAGUGAAAUGUGAAAAAAAGAAACAAAAAUUUAGUCCAGUCCCUUCCCUACAUUUUCCUUCUCUUCCAGAAAUUAUCACUCUUAGUGAUGAGCCAACGUCCCUUCAGUUCCCUUUGAGCAAAAAGAGAUCUGUAUAAAUAAAUGUGUCCUUCUUUGUUUUCCUGUCA